AUUGCUUCUCAGCCUUUUGGCUAAGAUCACGUGUAGUAUCUGUUCUUACCAGAAAGUAUAAAAUAUCUGAAAUAAGAAAACUAAAUCAGGGACAAGUGAUUCAGAUCCAUAUAUGUAUGUGUCCUUUGUAUGAUGUGAACAUGAAUAACUGCUUAUAGUUAAAAGAGAAGUCCACAUAUAGAGACACAUUACUGUGU